rnacentral:rRNA from 1 species
UACGGGAGGCAGCAGUGGGGAAUAUUGCACAAUGGGCGCAAGCCUGAUGCAGCCAUGCCGCGUGUAUGAAGAAGGCCUUCGGGUUGUAAAGUACUUUUCAGUCGUGAGGAAGGUGUUAAGGUUAAUAACCUUAGCAAUUGACGUUAGCGACAGAAGAAGCACCGGCUAACUCCGUGCCAGCAGCCGCGGUAAUACGGAGGGUGCGAGCGUUAAUCGGAAUUACUGGGCGUAAAGGGCACGCAGGCGGUUAAUUAAGUUGGAUGUGAAAUCCCCGGGCUUAACCUGGGAAUGGCAUUCAAGACUGGUUAGCUAGAGUCUUGUAGAGGGGGUAGAAUUCCAUGUGUAGCGGUGAAAUGCGUAGAGAUGUGGAGGAAUACCGGUGGCGAAGGCGGCCCCUGGACAAAGGCUGACGCUCAUGUGCGAAAGCGUGGGGAGCAAACGAGGGAUUAGAUACC